AGUCUGGGAUAGCCAUUGGAAACGAUGAUUAAUACUAGAUACUCCUUCUUAUCACNAUGAUAAGUCGAGGAAAGUUUUUUCGCUAAGAGAUCGGCCUAUAUCGCAUCAGUUAGUUGGUGGGGUAACGGCCUACCAAGACAAUGACGCGUAGCGGGUUUGAGAGGAUGAUCCGCCACACUGGUACUGAGACACGGACCAGACUCCUACGGGAGGCAGCAGUGAGGAAUAUUGCACAAUGGGGGAAACCCUGAUGCAGCAGCGCCGCGUGGAGGAUGACGCAUUUCGGUGUGUAAACUCCUUUUAUGAGUCAAGAAAAUGACGGUAGCUCAUGAAUAAGCACCGGCUAACUCCGUGCCAGCAGCCGCGGUAAUACGGAGGGUGCAAGCGUUACUCGGAAUCACUGGGCGUAAAGGACGCGUAGGCGGGUUAUCAAGUCAGGUGUGAAAUCCUAUGGCUCAACCAUAGAACUGCACUUGAAACUGGUAACCUAGAGUAUGGGAGGGGCGNGAUGGAAUUAGUAGUGUANGGGGUAAAAUCCGUAGAUAUUACUAGGAAUACCUAAAGCGAAGGCGAUCUGCUGGAACAUUACUGACGCUAAGGCGUGAAAGCGUGGGGAGCAAACGGGAUUAGAUACCCCGGUAGUCCACGCCCUAAACGAUGAACACUAGUCGUCGGGGAGCUAGUCUCUUCGGUGAUGCACUUAACAGAUUAAGUGUUCCGCCUGGGGAGUACGGUCGCAAGAUUAAAACUCAAAGGAAUAGACGGGGACCCGCACAAGUGGUGGAGCAUGUGGUUUAAUUCGAAGAUACGCGAAGAACCUUACCUAGCCUUGACAUUGAUAGAACACCGUAGAGAUACAGUGGUGCCCUUCGGGGAACUUGAAAACAGGUGCUGCACGGCUGUCGUCAGCUCGUGUCGUGAGAUGUUGGGUUAAGUCCCGCAACGAGCGCAACCCUCGUCCUUAGUUGCCAGCAGGUUAAGCUGGGCACUCUAAGGAGACUGCCUUCGCAAGGAGGAGGAAGGUGAGGACGACGUCAAGUCAUCAUGGCCCUUAUGGCUAGGGCUACACACGUGCUACAAUGGGGCGUACAGAGAGUUGCGAUACCGCGAGGUGGAGCCAAUCUCAUAAAGCGUCUCUCAGUUCGGAUUGGAGUCUGCAACUCGACUCCAUGAAGCUGGAAUCACUAGUAAUCGUAGAUCAGCAAUGCUACGGUGAAUACGUUCCCGGGUCUUGU
rnacentral:rRNA from 1 species